CCAGAAAGUCCAGUCAAAAGACAUCUGUCUAGUGUCCAGUCAGAAGUACUGACCGGACACCAAAAGUCUGGUUACCACCUGUAAGGGUGCCGGAACAAGGGGGGGGAGCUGCCUGCAAACUCCACCAUCAGCCUGGCCCCUGCCAGCCUGGCCGGGAGCGUGGGGACUGAGAAGGGCCAGAGCGGAGGACAGAGCAGUGCAUGGGGAGGGCGCUGGGUUAUCAACCCGUGCCAGCCCCUUUUCAGCCAGGGCGUCUCCUACCUGCAUCUUGUGGGCAGGUAGGCUCCACAUCAGUUCUCAGCCUGGCUCUGCAGCCAGCAGACAGUUUACUACAAACUUCAAUCAACUGCUUAAUGGCUAAUUACCUUAUGCUGGUGAAUGUAACUAGUAACCUAUGUAUAUAUAAGAAAUAGGUGAUUCAACUUCAAAACCACAAUGCUUCACCCAAGGAACACCUGCUGUCAAGAGGAUGUCAAUAGCCUGCUAGAGAACUAUAAAAAGGACUCUUGGGCCCUGCUCCUGUUGUCUCAGAUCUGCUUAAGCUUCAUCAGGGGAAGUUUGAGUCACAAGACUGAGGUCUCCAGUUCCAUUCUGGAUUGCCCUGAUAUUGGUCAUUGGACUAUAACCUGAUGAACUGAUUCUGAAAAGGACUCUUUGCAACUUCAAAGCUCACCAUCUCUACUAUGCAAAUGACCUAAGAACUUUUAUUCAUAUCUGUAUGUAUAAUCUUUUAACCAUUCUCUCCUCCUUUUUAGUAAAUCUUAGUUCACUUAAUAA